rnacentral:tRNA from 3 species
GGCUCGAUAGCUCAGUUGGUAGAGCAGCGGAUUGAAGAUCCGCGUGUCGUAGGUUCGAUUCCUACUCGAGCCACCA